AAAUUGAAGAGUUUGAUCAUGGCUCAGAUUGAACGCUGGCGGCAGGCCUAACACAUGCAAGUCGAGCGGUAGCACAGAGAGCUUGCUCUCGGGUGACGAGCGGCGGACGGGUGAGUAAUGUCUGGGAAACUGCCUGAUGGAGGGGGAUAACUACUGGAAACGGUAGCUAAUACCGCAUAACGUCGCAAGACCAAAGUGGGGGACCUUCGGGCCUCAUGCCAUCAGAUGUGCCCAGAUGGGAUUAGCUAGUAGGUGGGGUAACGGCUCACCUAGGCGACGAUCCCUAGCUGGUCUGAGAGGAUGACCAGCCACACUGGAACUGAGACACGGUCCAGACUCCUACGGGAGGCAGCAGUGGGGAAUAUUGCACAAUGGGCGCAAGCCUGAUGCAGCCAUGCCGCGUGUGUGAAGAAGGCCUUCGGGUUGUAAAGCACUUUCAGCGGGGAGGAAGGCGAUAAGGUUAAUAACCUUGUCGAUUGACGUUACCCGCAGAAGAAGCACCGGCUAACUCCGUGCCAGCAGCCGCGGUAAUACGGAGGGUGCAAGCGUUAAUCGGAAUUACUGGGCGUAAAGCGCACGCAGGCGGUCUGUCAAGUCGGAUGUGAAAUCCCCGGGCUUAACCUGGGAACUGCAUUCGAAACUGGCAGGCUAGAGUCUUGUAGAGGGGGGUAGAAUUCCAGGUGUAGCGGUGAAAUGCGUAGAGAUCUGGAGGAAUACCGGUGGCGAAGGCGGCCCCCUGGACAAAGACUGACGCUCAGGUGCGAAAGCGUGGGGAGCAAACAGGAUUAGAUACCCUGGUAGUCCACGCCGUAAACGAUGUCGAUUUGGAGGUUGUGCCCUUGAGGCGUGGCUUCCGGAGCUAACGCGUUAAAUCGACCGCCUGGGGAGUACGGCCGCAAGGUUAAAACUCAAAUGAAUUGACGGGGGCCCGCACAAGCGGUGGAGCAUGUGGUUUAAUUCGAUGCAACGCGAAGAACCUUACCUGGUCUUGACAUCCACAGAACUUUCCAGAGAUGGAUUGGUGCCUUCGGGAACUGUGAGACAGGUGCUGCAUGGCUGUCGUCAGCUCGUGUUGUGAAAUGUUGGGUUAAGUCCCGCAACGAGCGCAACCCUUAUCCUUUGUUGCCAGCGGUCCGGCCGGGAACUCAAAGGAGACUGCCAGUGAUAAACUGGAGGAAGGUGGGGAUGACGUCAAGUCAUCAUGGCCCUUACGACCAGGGCUACACACGUGCUACAAUGGCAUAUACAAAGAGAAGCGACCUCGCGAGAGCAAGCGGACCUCAUAAAGUAUGUCGUAGUCCGGAUUGGAGUCUGCAACUCGACUCCAUGAAGUCGGAAUCGCUAGUAAUCGUAGAUCAGAAUGCUACGGUGAAUACGUUCCCGGGCCUUGUACACACCGCCCGUCACACCAUGGGAGUGGGUUGCAAAAGAAGUAGGUAGCUUAACCUUCGGGAGGGCGCUUACCACUUUGUGAUUCAUGACUGGGGUGAAGUCGUAACAAGGUAACCGUAGGGGAACCUGCGGUUGGAUCACCUCCUUA
rnacentral:rRNA from 1 species